GAUGAACGCUGGCGGCGUGCCUAAUACAUGCAAGUCGAACGAGGAACUUUAAUCUUCGGAUGAAAGUUUCCUAGUGGCGAACGGGUGAGUAACGCGUUGGUGACCUGCCCCAAAGUGGGGGAUAACAGUUCGAAAGGACUGCUAAUACCGCAUAAGAUCAAUGGGAUUAGAUGCCUAUUGAUUAAAGGCGAAAGUCGCUUUGGGAGGGGCCUGCGUCCCAUCAGCUUGUUGGUAGGGUAAUAGCCUACCAAGGCUAAGACGGGUAGGGGACCUGAGAGGGUGGCCCCCCACACUGGCACUGAAACACGGGCCAGACACCUACGGGUGGCAGCAGUAGGGAAUAUUGGACAAUGGGCGAAAGCCUGAUCCAGCAACGCCGCGUGCGCGAUGAAGGCCUUCGGGUUGUAAAGCGCUUUUAGGGGAGAGUGAGAAAGGACAGUAUCCUCUGAAUAAGCCUCGGCGAACUACGUG
rnacentral:rRNA from 1 species